AAAAUCCACAAUUUUCUCAAAGCUUCUUGCUUUCACUAAUUGCGUGCACGUUAUUCCAGCGAAAUCCACACCCAGACAAAAAUUACUCCCUAGUUCUAACUAUUACACUAUCAUCAUCACUGCGCACGCUCCAAACGACCCUCUUCCACUAUCGCAUAACCAAUUAACCAUGGCUUCUCUGCAAGCGAGUCCUCCAUUCCAUUACCGUUUCAGUUCCCCUUCGCUUAAAAAUCGGAAUUUUACCUUUUACCGGCGGUUUCCAGCCUCUUUUACGCGGAAAGUUAGGGUUUUUGCACUGAGGGGGGAGAGUCGUCGAGGAGGAGAUGGAGCUUACUCUUUUGGUUGCGUUUGCAAAGCGAGUACUGCUGCGAUUGAGAAGGUUUCGGUUGAGGAAGAGAAUGAGCGGCCUCCUUUCGAUAUUAAUCUCGCGGUUGUGCUCGCUGGUUUCGCUUUUGAAGCUUAUACAAGCCCCCCUGAAAAAAUUGGUAGGCAUGAGGUUGAUGCUGCAGGUUGUAAGACUGUGUACCUUUCAGACAAUUGAUGCGUGGUCAGGAUUAUAUGCUUGGAAGCAAAUGCUAAUGUCAAACAGGGAAUUAAGUUACAAUUGCUAAGCAUUUAAUAAAAUCUUCUCUAUGUUUGCAGGACAUUUGUGCGUGAGAUAUAUGAUGGCCAAUUGUUUAUAAAACUGAAAAGGGGUUUUGAUUUACCUGCAAUGGAUCCAUGGGGAACAAGUGAUCCAUAUGUGGUCAUGCAAUUGGAUGGGCAGGUUGUCAAAAGCAACAUUAAAUGGGGCAAAAAGGAGCCAACUUGGAAUGAGGACUUCACUUUCAAUAUUAAGCAAUAUCAAACAAAAAAUCUUCAGAUUGCUGCUUGGGAUGCAAACCUUGUAACUCCACAUAAACGCAUGGGUAACGCAGCCAUUGGUGUGGAAUAUCUCUGUGAUGGGAACUUACAUGAGGUGCUGGUGGAAUUGGAAGGGAUGGGUGGUGGUGGAAAGUUGCUGCUAGAGAGACUAUAGCAUGCUUGAGUGGAGGGAAGCUAGGUGAGAAGGAAUGGGGUCCCUAGAAAAAUGGCAAUCUUAUUGGAUGCAAAAGAGAAAUAGUGGAAUGCAAUAGAACAAUUAGUAAAAACAACACUUAUGAUGGAACAAUAAGGGUAAAUGUUGUUGGUGAAGUAUUUUGUUUGCAGAACAAGGCACUUUGGAGUGAUUUUUUUUUUUCUAAAAUCUAAUGGAUUUAUUGCCAUGAGGCCUUUUCAGUCAAACAAGCCCAUUUUCCUUCUCCAGAACACAUCAUUAUGGAAAAUGUUACGAGAGAAUCAGUUGGAAAUAAAGAGGUUAUACGAACAAUAUAUAACAUACUUUGAGUUGUGUAAAUCGAUGCUUUAUGGCAUCUAGAAACUUAUUUGCUGUAAAUUUCUGUGCUCUCAUCUGCUGCAGGAUGUUAUUUUUAUGUCAUGUGGAAUUUGAGUGCUCUUAACUGCUAUGGAUACAUUUGUUCAGCAAAAUUUAGACUUCCAACUAGACCACAUUUUAUUUAAUAUUUCCAAUUACUUAUACUUGGUAGCUACUGGUGAGGUUUCAGGUCAAGUAUAAAAGUUUUGGUGAAAUUGAAGAAGAAAAAAAGUGGUGGAGGAUUCCCUUUGUUUCAGAAUUUCUUCGGAGAAAUGGUUUUGAUUCUGCCUUAAAAAUGGUUGUUGGCUCUGAAACUGUGCCAGCACGUCAAUUUGUAGAAUAUUCUUUUGGCCAAUUGAAGUCUUUCAAUGAUGCAUACCUUUCCAAGGAUCUACUUUCAAACAGCAAUUGUUCAGAGAUUGCUAGUAGUUCCAACAAUUCUGUAGUGUCAGAUAUUCCUUCACAGAUAGAGAACAUUUCAGAAGCCUCUUCGAAUGAAAAAAGUUGCAGCCAGGAGAGUAAUUUAGAGUCCCACAUUGAUAAUGGUGGCUUAGAUGAUGGACACCCAGCAGAAUUGGGGGCAAAAGCUGAUGAGAUUAUGCAAUCAAAUAAACAUUUUUGGAAGAACUUUGCUGAACUUAUCAACCAAACUAUUGUUCAAAAACAUGGUCUGCCUGUUUCCAUGGAAUUAAAGUGGGAUGGAUUUGACUUAUUGAACAAAAUUGGAUUGCAGUCACAAAAGAUUGCUGAAGCAGGUUAUAUUGAAUCCGGACUUGCUACACCUCAAGUUCAGGAUGUUGGCAGUGAUAAGGCAAGUGGCCCACCUAGCAUUAGCACGAUUCAGUCUUCACUUCCAGAUAUUAAAAAGGCAACAGAGGAUUUAUUAAGGCAAACUGAUGCUGUCUUGGGAGCAUUCAUGGUUUUGACAGCAGCAAUUUCUAAAUUAAAUGAAGAAUCACAGCUUUCAGGAAAGAGUUCUUCUGAGAGCGAGAAGUUCAUUAGCACUCUGGACGUGUCUGAAUUGGAUGAAAAGAAAGCUGAGGAGAUGAAAAAACUAUUUUCAACUGCAGAAACUGCAAUGGAGGCUUGGGCAAUGCUUGCUACUUCACUGGGCCGUCCAAGUUUUAUUAAGUCUGAAUUUGAGAAAAUAUGCUUUUUAGAUAAUCCAUCCACAGAUACACAGGUAGCAAUCUGGCGUGAUUCCGCACGGCGAAAAUUGGUCAUUUCUUUCAGGGGGACAGAACAAGCAAAAUGGAAGGACUUGCGAACUGAUUUAAUGCUUGUUCCUGCUGGGUAAUGUCAAAUAUCUAGCUUAAUCUCAUAAUUUCUUGUUUGCAUAUGCAGCUUAUUUAUAUUGUUGAGCGUUUUUUCAGUCAAUAUAUAAAACUUAUUGGUUAUCAUUACAUCCCCUGAAAAUGGUGCUUUGCUAAUUUGGCAGAGGUGGAUUUGUGCCCAUGUAACUGAAAUUUUGAAAUUUCUCAUUUGGUAUAGCUAAAUUCCUCUAACUGUCUGUUUAUUAGAGAGAGGAAAGUGGAGGGGGAGAGAAAUGAGGGGAAAAUGGGGUUGUGGCCCUCUCAUCUCUAGAAACAAUUUUGUGGGCCCCUCAAUCCAAACAUUGUAUAUUGGUAUAUAUUUUUAUACUCUAGGGCUUUAGAAGCAAUUCAAGUGCAAUGUGUUUCCUCAACAUUGUUCACUGAUUUAUCCUUGUUAUGCUUCUUUCCUAAUGCUAACUCUUAUUCCACUUCUGUAGCCUAAAUCCUGAAAGAAUUGGUGGAGAUUUUAAGCAAGAAAUUCAGGUUCAUAGUGGUUUUCUAAGUGCGUAUGAUUCAGUAAGGAUGAGGAUCAUCUCCAUCAUUAAACUCUCAGUUGGUUAUAUUGAUGAUGGAGGUGAACCACCUGUUAAAUGGCAUGUUUAUGUUACUGGUCAUAGUUUGGGUGGUGCAUUAGCCACCCUUCUUGCUCUUGAACUUUCUUCAAGUCAGCUAUCAAAGCAUGGUGCAAUUUCUGUGACUAUGUAUAACUUUGGAUCGCCUAGAGUUGGUAACAAAAGAUUUGCAGAAGUUUAUAAUCAGAAAGUUAAAGACAGCUGGAGAGUUGUGAACCAUAGAGAUAUCAUACCAACUGUUCCUCGCUUGAUGGGCUAUUGCCACGUGGCUCAGCCUGUUUAUCUAGCAGCUGGAGAGCUAAAAGAAGCAUUGGGAAAUGUAGAACUUUCAAAGGAUGGUUACCCAGUUGAUGUGGUUGGAGAGUCAACACCGGAUGUGCUUGUCCAUGAAUUUAUGAAAGGCGAAAAGGAACUCAUUGAAAAAAUAUUGCAAACUGAAAUAAAUAUAUUUCGUGCAAUUCGAGAUGGUACUGCACUUAUGCAGCACAUGGAGGAUUUCUAUUACAUCACAUUGCUAGAGAAUGUGAGAUCAAAUUACCAGACAGCUACAAGGCUAGAAAGCAAAGAACAAGAUAGCGUAUCAAUCAUCUAAGACGACCAACAUUUGAAAUGAUAGCAGCCAAAGCUUGUGUACUUCUUUUCUAUACUUAUCACAGAAUAAAUUCUCUGCCACUUCUCAGGCAGGCUUCUCCAUAAAUUGCGGGUCCUGUAGGAAGCCCAUGAAAAAGAUUACUUGUACAGCCAUAGGAGAAAGAAAAGAAAUCGUACUUGUACAGUAUUCUUUUUAUUAUGAGAUGGUAAACUUUAGACAAGAUUUUCACAUCUUCAGUAGGAUGGUACCCAAUGUUAACGGGGCCAUAAAGCAUUCUCCAUAUCAAAGAUAUCACUCAAAAGAUUCUCUGAUUCUGUUGUUUCUCAUUGUCUGUACGUUGUUUAAUAUCUUUCUAGUUAUGGUUUGAUCGUCUGUGCUUCAUUUCAUUUGCACUGGGACUUUCGCAUUGCAUUUAGGGUUGAGAAGCAUGGAAACCAUCUCAGAUGCUAUAUAUGAGAGUGUUAUCUCUAAUUUCAUGUGCUAGGUGGUAUUCAAGUCCUGCUUUGUUUAUUUAUACAUGAUGGAACUUGGGAACCAAACUAGGUUCUGACGGCCAUCAUGGCCUAAACUGGCUUUGGCAUUACAACUAAAACCAUUGUCGUCUCAGUAACCCAAUUAUUAUUUUAUUUCCUAGAGGCAAUUACUCCACUGGAAGGGACCAUGACUGUUGCUACUGCUCCAUGAGCCAUCCAUAUCGAGCUUAAACUAUUGCCCAGGAAGAGGGUUCCUGCAGACUCGGUAUGCAAACGGAAUACGCCUUGGAAAUUGGAAUAUCCUCGAAAGCAUUUUGUCAAGCAGUACUGUAUGGGACUUGCCCGGAACAAGUUUAUCAGCGAUGAAUACGACUCUCAAGCUAGGAUUACAAGUCGAGUUAUUUUAGCAGAAGCAGAGUCAAAGAUGGAGAACAGAAAUUUUAACCUGGCUCUAUACAUCUCUCCUGGUGUCCCACAUUUUCUUGUUUUUUCUACUAUCUCAUAUUUAUUAAUCCAGACAGUAUUUCCUAAAGUUUGUUGCAUUUGACUGGCAAGCAAUUAUAGCAAUGCAAAGUUGGAGUUGUUGCAUUGAACUUUAAAAGCCAUACAAUCUACCAGAAGUAGAACUCCGCUAAAAAUGUUAUGCUUUUCUAGCCUGUUUCACAAGUGUCAACUUGGGUUUGCUGUGAUCAAAGCUUGGAGCAUUUUUACUGCUCACGAUUCUCAAACUCUGCCUCAGUAUAUCAACCUCUCUCGCCCUCUUGUACUCUUCACGCUCCACUAAAGCUAAUCUUGCUUUCAGCUCUUCAAUGAUUUCCUCCUUGGCCUUCACUUCCAUCUUUAGUUCUUCAAUCAUGUCCUCUUCCUCCGCUUUCCAAUACAGCCCAUCCCCUAUUAAGGAAAAACAAAAUACGUUGGUGUAAUUUUCAAUAAUGCUUAUAAUUAUCAAUAAUGCUUAUGAUUAGCUAUUCAUUGAACUAAUUAGUUGCAAAAUAUUGUCAAAUGCACAUUUUGUUAUUGUCUGCCAAUUAGAUAUCAGAAUGAACAAGAAGAGAGUGAAUCCCUCAUCCCGCAUAUAAUCUUUUCUGCUAUGAGAUGACAAUAUGACAUGAAAUAAAGUGGAUCUACAGUGCAUGCCCAAUCCUCUCUGGUGAUAAUUUCUGCAAAUUGGUGAAUAUAUAUACUUGUGCAUGUACGUUCAUAGUGUGACAUUACAUUUUCUGUGUAUGAUGAUAUGAUCUAUUCGACUAUUGUAUGAGUGCGUGCAAAAGAGAAGAGAGAGAUGCACCACGAUGAGUCCUCUGAAUGAGAUCAUCAAGCUCAGUCUUGAUAGCAAGAUACAGCUUCUUCCACUUAUCCACAGCCUCAUCUCUCCACACUCUCUCCUCCCUCAUUUGCUCCACCAAGAAGCUAGAAUUCAUGCCUGAAAAUGGCCAGUUUUUCUCAUUUUUCUCCCCCACUAACUCACCUUCCAUUUCUUUAAUCUUCUCUUCCUUCUCUUCCAGCAUCUUUCUCAACCUCUUCACUUCCUCUUUAAGCCUCUUCUUCUCUUGCUUCCACUCGGCUUCCUUAAAUGCAUAAAUUAGCAUGUCUCUCUCGUAAGCUCUGCCCUCUUUCUCUCUUUCACACAUUAUAGCUUUGAUUUCCUCUUGGAGAAGCCUUACCUUCUCUGCCAACGCUAUAAGAUCUUUCUUACAUUGGUUACUGCUUUGUUUCUUGCUACCAAAACAAUCCAUAACGAGCAACUUCCUUUUCUCCUCCUUGCCUUUCUUGCUAUUACUCAUAAAUGGAGGUAAAUCUUUUCUUUUACCUUGAUAUAAGGAAAGGAGAAAAGAGUUAGAGAGACAGAGAUACGUGGGCUUUUGGGUUAGAAAAGAAGUGUGUGAAUGACAUAAAUUCCUUACAGAGGCUCCUCCAUCAAUGAAGAGCUGCCCUUUCUGCUGAAAG
rnacentral:misc_RNA from 1 species